rnacentral:rRNA from 1 species
GACGAACGCUGGCGGCGUGCUCAACAUAUGCAAGUCGAACGGUGAAGCGCCUUCCUUUUUGGUGGGUGUGGCUGCGUGGCUAACGGGUGAGUAACACGUGAGUAAACUGCCCCCUUCUUCUGGAUAACCGCAUGAAAGUGUGGCUAAUAAGGGAUAUUCUGGGUCUGUCGCAUGAUGGGUUUGGGGAAGAUAUUGUUUCGGUGGGGGUUGGGCUCGCGGCCUGGCAGCUUGUUGGUGGGGUGCUGGUCUUGCAAGGCGGUGACGCGUAGCCGGCCUGAGAGGGUGGACGGUCACACUGGGACUGGGACACGGCCCAGACUCCUACGGGAGGCAGCAGUGGGGAAUAUUGCACAAUGGGCGCAAGCCUGAUGCAGCGACGCCGCGUGAGGGAUGGAGGCCUUCGGGUUGUGAACCUCUUUCGCCAGUGAAGCAGGCCUGCCUCGUUUGUGGGUGGGUUGACGGUAGCUGGAUAAGAAGCGCCGGCUAACUACGUG